rnacentral:rRNA from 1 species
UCCGUAGGGGUAACCUGCGGAGGGAUCAUUACACAACAAAAAUAUGAGGGUGUGGUUUGCUGGCAACAGCGUCCGCCCCAAGUAUUUUUCACCCAUGUCUUUUGCGCACUUUUUGUUUCCUGGGCGAGUUCGCUCGCCACCAGGACCCAACCAUAAACCUUUUUUUAUGCAGUUGCAAUCAGCGUCAGUAUAAUAAUUCAAUUUAUUAAAACUUUCAACAACGGAUCUCUUGGUUCUGGCAUCGAUGAAGAACGCAGCGAAAUGCGAUACGUAGUGUGAAUUGCAGAAUUCAGUGAAUCAUCGAAUCUUUGAACGCACAUUGCGCCCUUUGGUAUUCCAAAGGGCAUGCCUGUUCGAGCGUCAUUUGUACCCUCAAGCUUUGCUUGGUGUUGGGCGUCUUUUUGUCUCUCCCCUUGUUGGGGGAGACUCGCCUUAAAACGAUUGGCAGCCGACCUACUGGUUUUCGGAGCGCAGCACAAAUUUGCGCCUUCCAAUCCACGGGGCGGCAUCCAGCAAGCCUUUGUUUUCUAUAACAAAUCCACAUUUUGACCUCGGAUCAGGUAGGGAUACCCGCUGAACUUAAGCAUAUCAAAGG